rnacentral:rRNA from 1 species
UACGUAGGGGGCAAGCGUUGUCCGGAAUCAUUGGGCGUAAAGAGCGUGUAGGCGGCCAGAUAAGUCCGCUGUGAAAUCUCGAGGCUCAACUUCGAGCUGUCGGUGGAAACUGUCUGGCUAGAGUCCGGAAGAGGAGAAUGGAAUUCCUGGUGUAGCGGUGAAAUGCGCAGAUAUCAGGAAGAACACCCGUGGCGAAGGCGGUUCGCUGGGACGGUACUGACGCUGAGACGCGAAAGCGUGGGGAGCGAACAGG